CAACGCAGAGCCUGCUGGGAAAUGUGUUUGUGUUGGGCUUGCCGGCGAGAGAAGCGUGCGGCGAGUCACGCAGGCUGACCCAGUCACGUGGGCUCCUGGGGCGCCCAACGGUCAUAACGGCCCAAACACCCGAAAGAGCUCUGUUUACAGUGUCACUCACCACAGACUAUACUGCCUAAACGCAUUCUCUUGCCAUAAAUACAAGAAGUCUCAAACCCAGGCCUCUUUUCUCCUGGCAUCUACAUGAGUGAAGAAGACAUUAUCACUUACUCUCCUCAUCUGCAAGAAAGAAUGACUCAGGGGUUCUUUCAGGAAGUGGAGGAGGGGAGGAAGAGCGAUCCCGGUGUUUCUCUGAGAUACCAAGCGUGACACAGCCUUUAGUUUUCGUUACAAAAGGGUUGGCAUCAGCAUGAUUAUUAGGUAAGAUCUGAGACUCUCAUUGACCUGGGAAUCAAGUCCGGUCCUUUGGAACUGGUGAACCUCACAUAAUGGUGAAUCAGGUUUUCAGUAACCACUCACUCACUAUAUUAGACUUAUCUGUCUGGAUGGAAGUCAAGGGCUAGAAUGCUUAAAAAGACUGUAUUUGGCUUCUUGGUGACCAGUGUGGUAUUAUAGAAGCUGUUUUGUUACUGAAUUGGUGAAUCUAAUUAUAGAAUUAAACCGCCAGUUUUGAUGAUUGUGUGCCCUAUUCCUUGCAGUCUGCCUUGAGUGUAGCAUUCUCAGUGCGGCUCAUCCAGUCCAGUUCCCAUAUCAGCUUGCUGAACUGGAUUGGGCUGACAUCCCCUAUGGUGACCACAGUAAUGCAAUCCGUAUAAAUCUACAAUCCUUCCCAAGAGAACAUGCAAGUGCUACAAGUGCCCAUUCCCAAGAGAAUGGCAGAGAAUGUUCCCAAGGCAAUAAACAGUCUGAGAAGGAAACAAUGACAACUCAUUUUCCGGAUAAGACUGAAAGAAACAGUAGCACAAAAGGAUACCAGCUGAUUCAGGGACUGAUUAGGAGAUAUAAAAACUAACACUAGUUUGGUUGAUGCACUAGUCCGUCAUGUGUACAACAAAGCUGUUCCUCUGGGCAUGGAGCCUAGGGACUUUUACAAAGUGCAGUUCGGUACAGUUACAGUACACUACCGAGUUUACUACCAAACAGACAGGUAUCUCAACGGACUCAAUGAAGUAACAUCAAGAUAAACUGUACCUGAUCUGGAGCUCUGGAGCUUCACACUCUGGAAACAAACAAAAAGGGAAAAUACUUGAAAUUUCAAAAGCCAAAUGCGAAUCUUUAUAUUGUGAGCAAGUAGGCAAUGAACAGGAAGUGAUAUUACAAGCACUGAAACACCACCUACUAAUGUAAUGGACGAUGAGUUCUACAUUUCUUAUAUUCUUGUUACUAAUUGAAUCUGUGUUUCAGAGGAAGGAUGCUCUUGUGGUUAAGACACUGGCUGGGGAGUUCAAUUCAUGGUUCUUCUGCAGUCUCCCUGUGUGACCCUAGGCAAGUCACUAACUCUGUCAGUCUCUGUUCCUCAUCUCUAAAAUGGGGGCAACAAUAUUUUCCCAUCUCAUAUGGGAACUUAGAGAAUAAAUUCACUCAUGUUUGGGAGGGACUCAAGCCUUGUCUACACUUCAAACUUAGGUUGACAUAGCUAUGGCAUGCAGGUGGGAAAAAUCCACAUGCCCAAGCAUCAUAGCUAUGCAGACCUAACCCCCAGUGUAGAUGCAGCGAGGUCGAUGGAAGAAUGCUUCCAUUGACAUAGCUACCAUUGCACGGAGAGAUGGAAUUCCUACAGCGAAGGAAAAACCUCUUCUGCCACUGUAGCACCCAUGCCUCAGAUGCUACUGUGAAGGGGACCCAAGGGUGGUGGCUGGAGCCCCCCUUCAGGGAGGCUAGCCCCUGGCUCCGCCCAUGCUCUCCUCCCCCUGCAUCCAGAGCCCCAAGACCCCUUGACCUCCUCUGUGGCCGGGGAAACCCACACACAUUGGCCGGGGAAACCCAAGGCUGGUAGAAGCCCCGAGGCCUCCCCCACACCUGCCUGGAGGUGCCAGGGCCAGCCGCAGCUGCUCCACACCUCCCCUCCCCAGACCCCAAGCCGUCCAGGGAAAAGCAUCUCUUCCCGAAGAUGCUUUUGACAUGACCCAUCCAGGUCCCUGGGUUGCUGAGGAGGUGGUACUUGCUACUCAAUUUCCUGGGUUCAUCAGGGAGUCCAGGGAGAUUACUGAUGAACCUGAGAAACUGAAUAGCACAUACCGCCUCCUCAGCCACCCCAGAAUCUUUAUUAUGCAUGGUGCAUAAUAAAGCAAAAAUUUUGCUGCCAAACCCCGCAACCAGGGGUCUGGCGGCCACAGCAGUCUCCCCAGGCCUAUGAUACCCACCGCCCUUGAGGGAACCCCAUAAAUACCAAGACAGAUGUAAAACUGGCAGCUCAGGUUGUGACGUUGUGCAGUCUAUAUGGUUUUAUAAAAACAUGAUAAUAAGUGGAUAUACGAAUGGAUAUAAACUGGCCAUGGGGAAGUUUAGGCUUGAAAUUAGAUGAAGGUUUCUGACCGUCAGA